AUAACAUCAGGAGAACAAGAAAAAACUGUUAAGAAAUCUUCCUUCUACAUCAGGCAGUAAUACAAAUGCGUCAAUGAUUCCCCUACCUUGCAUCCUUGGCUGAUGGUAGAUG